UGCGGGAUCGUCUAACGGUAGGACGGCGCCCUUUGGAGGCGUCUAUCAUGGUCCGAAUCCAUGUCCCGCAG
rnacentral:tRNA from 1 species